rnacentral:tRNA from 1 species
AGGAUUGUGGUUCAGUGGUAGAAUGCUUGCCUACCAUGCAUGAGGCACUGGGUUCGAUCCUCAGUACUA